rnacentral:rRNA from 1 species
UGGGGAAUUUUCCGCAAUGGGGGCAACCCUGACGGAGCAAUACCGCGUGAGGGACGAAGGUUUUUGGAUUGUAAACCUCUUUUCUCAGGGAAGAACACAAUGACGGUACCUGAGGAAUAAGCAUCGGCUAACUCCGUGCCAGCAGCCGCGGUAAUACGGAGGAUGCAAGCGUUAUCCGGAAUUAUUGGGCGUAAAGCGUCCGCAGGUGGCAAUGUAAGUCAGUUGUUAAAGCGCGAGGCUUAACUUCGUAAAGGCGAUUGAAACUACAUAGCUAGAGUGUGGUAGGGGUAGCGGGAAUUCCUAGUGUAGCGGUGAAAUGCGUAGAUAUUAGGAAGAACACCAGCGGCGAAAGCGCGCUACUGGGCCAUAACUGACACUGAGGGACGAAAGCUAGGGGAGC